GAUGAACGCUGGCGGCGUGCCUAAUACAUGCAAGUCGAGCGAACUGAUUAGAAGCUUGCUUCUAUGACGUUAGCGGCGGACGGGUGAGUAACACGUGGGCAACCUGCCUGUAAGACUGGGAUAACUUCGGGAAACCGAAGCUAAUACCGGAUAGGAUCUUCUCCUUCAUGGGAGAUGAUUGAAAGAUGGUUUCGGCUAUCACUUACAGAUGGGCCCGCGGUGCAUUAGCUAGUUGGUGAGGUAACGGCUCACCAAGGCAACGAUGCAUAGCCGACCUGAGAGGGUGAGCGGCCACACUGGGACUGAGACACGGCCCAGACUCCUACGGGAGGCAGCAGUAGGGAAUCUUCCGCAAGGGACGAAAGUCUGACGGAGCAACGCCGCGUGAGUGAUGAAGGCUUUCGGGUCGUAAAACUCUGUUGUUAGGGAAGAACAAGUACAAGAGUAACUGCUUGUACCUUGACGGUACCUAACCAGAAAGCCACGGCUAACUACGUGCCAGCCGCCGCUGUAA
rnacentral:rRNA from 1 species